UACGGGGGGAGCAAGCGUUGUUCGGAUUUACUGGGCGUAAAGGGCGCGUAGGCGGCCACCGCAAGUCGACUGUGAAAUCUCCGGGCUUAACCCGGAAAGGUCAGCCGAUACUGCGGGGCUAGAGUGCAGAAGGGGCAACUGGAAUUCUCGGUGUAGCAGUGAAAUGCGUAGAGAUGUGGAGGAACACCGAUGGCGAAGGCAGCCCCCUGGGCCAAUACUGACGCUCAGGCACGAAGGCGUGGGGAGCAAACAGG
rnacentral:rRNA from 1 species